UACGUAGGGCGCAAGCGUUAUCCGGAAUUAUUGGGCGUAAAGAGCUCGUAGGCGGUUUGUCGCGUCUGCCGUGAAAGUCCGGGGCUCAACUCCGGAUCUGCGGUGGGUACGGGCAGACUAGAGUGAUGUAGGGGAGACUGGAAUUCCUGGUGUAGCGGUGAAAUGCGCAGAUAUCAGGAGGAACACCGAUGGCGAAGGCGGGUCUCUGGGCCGUAACUGACGCUGAGGAGCGAAAGCAUGGGGGAGCGAACAGG
rnacentral:rRNA from 1 species